UAUAACAAAAGAAAGACAAAACUAGGAUAUUCAAAGGUUAUAUGAGGUUGAAUAUAACAAAAGAAAGACAAAACUAGGAUAUUCAAAGGUUAUAUGAGGUUGAAUAUAACAAAAGAAAGACAAAACUAGGAUAUUCAAAGGUUAUAUGAGGUUGAAUAUAACAAAAGAAAGACAAAACUAGGAUAUUCAAAGGUUAUAUGAGGUUGAAUAUAACAAAAGAAAGACAAAACUAGGAUAUUCAAAGGUUAUAUGAGGUUGAAUAUAACAAAAGAAAGACAAAACUAGGAUAUUCAAAGGUUAUAUGAGGUUGAAUAUAACAAAAGAAAGACAAAACUAGGAUAUUCAAAGGUUAUAUGAGGUUGAAUAUAACAAAAGAAAGACAAAACUAGGAUAUUCAAAGGUUAUAUGAGGUUGAAUAUAACAAAAGAAAGACAAAACUAGGAUAUUCAAAGGUUAUAUGAGGUUGAAUAUAACAAAAGAAAGACAAAACUAGGAUAUUCAAAGGUUAUAUGAGGUUGAAUAUAACAAAAGAAAGACAAAACUAGGAUAUUCAAAGGUUAUAUGAGGUUGAAUAUAACAAAAGAAAGACAAAACUAGGAUAUUCAAAGGUUAUAUGAGGUUGAAUAUAACAAAAGAAAGACAAAACUAGGAUAUUCAAAGGUUAUAUGAGGUUGAAUAUAACAAAAGAAAGACAAGUGCAAAAACCAAGACACACAAUCAAAGGACCAGAACACCUAACAAACCUACACCAUACAACUGUGCACGCCUGCUGUCUUUCCUUCUCCCCCACCUGUACCUUCACCACUAACCCACUUCCUCUUCUUUCGAUACCCUUGAUUAAAAAAAUAAAUAAAAUAAAAUGUAACUCUGAGGUUGGAUUUAAUAACAGAAGGAUAAGUGAAGAGACUAAGACAUUCAGUACGGCAGUCAAAAGGUUAACCCGGUAGCAGCGACGGGCCAAAUUUGUGGUUUACCGUGUAGCAGCGAUGGGCCAAAUUUGUGGUUUACCGUGUAGCAGCGACGGGCCAAAUUUGUGGUUUACCGUGUAGCAGCGACGGGCCAAAUUUGUGGUUUACCGUGUAGCAGCGACGGGCCAAAUUUGUGGUUUACCGUGUAGCAGCGACGGGCCAAAUUUGUGGUUUACCGUGUAGCAGCGACGGGCCAAAUUUGUGGUUUACCGUGUAGCAGCGACGGGCCAAAUUUGUGGUUUACCGUGUAGCAGCGACGGGCCAAAUUUGUGGUUUACCGUGUAGCAGCGACGGGCCAAAUUUGUGGUUUACCGUGUAGCAGCGACGGGCCAAAUUUGUGGUUUACCAUGUAGCAGCGAUGGGCCAAAUUUGUGGUUUACCGUGUAGCAACGACGGGCCAAA